AGUGAACGCUGGCGGCAGGCCUAACACAUGCCAGUCGAACGGCAGCACAGUAAGAGCUUGCUCUUACGGGUGGCGAGUGGCGGACGGGUGAGGAAUACAUCGGAAUCUACUUUUUCGUGGGGGAUAACGUAGGGAAACUUACGCUAUACCGCAUACGACCUACGGGUGAAAGCAGGGGAUCUUCGGACCUUGCGCGAUUGAAUGAGCCGAUGUCGGAUUAGCUAGUUGGCGGGGUAAAGGCCCACCAAGGCGACGAUCCGUAGCUGGUCUGAGAGGAUGAUCAGCCACACUGGAACUGAGACACGGUCCAGACUCCUACGGGAGGCAGCAGUGGGGAAUAUUGGACAAUGGGCGCAAGCCUGAUCCAGCCAUACCGCGUGGGUGAAGAAGGCCUUCGGGUUGUAAAGCCCUUUUGUUGGGAAAGAAAAGCAGCAGGUUAAUACCCCGCUGUUCUGACGGUACCCAAAGAAUAAGCACCGGCUAACUUCGUG
rnacentral:rRNA from 1 species